rnacentral:rRNA from 1 species
AGGACGAACGCUGGCGGCGUGCCUAAUACAUGCAAGUCGAACGGUCUUUUCUAUGGAAGCUUGCUUCCACUGAGAAGAUAGUGGCGAACGGGUGAGUAACACGUGGGUAACCUGCCCAUAAGAGGGGGAUAACAUCCGGAAACGGGUGCUAAUACCGCAUAGUUUUCUUGAUCGCAUGAUUGAGAAAGGAAAGACGGCCUUUGUGCUGUCGCUUAUGGAUGGACCCGCGGCGUAUUAGUUAGUUGGUGAGGUAACGGCUCACCAAGACGAUGAUACGUAGCCGACCUGAGAGGGUGAUCGGCCACAUUGGGACUGAGACACGGCCCAAACUCCUACGGGAGGCAGCAGUAGGGAAUCUUCCGCAAUGGACGAAAGUCUGACGGAGCAACGCCGCGUGAGUGAAGAAAGGUUUUCGGAUCGUAAAACUCUGUUGUCAGAGAAGAACAAGUUGGAGAGUAACUGCUCCAGCCUUGACGGUAUCUGACCAGAAAGCCACGGCUAACUACGUGCCAGCAGCCGC